CUUCCCGCCCCGCCCUUCCGCGUGCGGGCGGUGCCGGGCUCCGUCGGGCGCCGUGUGGGUGGGACACGGUGGGACACGGUGGGACACGGUGGGAGCGAGCCCGCAGGGUGCGAGCCGGCGCUGCUUGCCCGCGGCGCCGCGGGAAAGAUGGCGCCAGCAGGGCGAGCGAGGUGAUCCUGCCACUCUGCUCAGCCCUGGUUGGUUGAAAAAAACGGACAAGGUGCCACUGACGUUGCAGAAAGAGGAUAAACACACGAUGUGUUCAUGAAGUGCUUUGUAUCUAGGACUUGGCUGAAGAAUAGCUCGCAGGCAUGGACUGGCAGAAGUGAUGUUUGUAAUGCAAGGAAUAUAUCCCGAAUGCCUCAUUGCCAUACUGGGAGCAUGAGCUCAGCACAUGCCUCCCUGCUGCACUGUGCAUCACUGACCUGCCUUUGUGUGACCUGCCUUUGGCAAGACAACAGUCUCGAGUGCCUCUGCUCUGGUGGUACAUGCCAGAUGGACUUUUUGCAGAGAUUAAAUGAAGGAUCAUUUGUCAAGCAGCUGCAUCAGGAAGGAUUUUUCGUGUGUGGGGGGAAUGUACAGGGAAAGGCAUGAUAACACUUGUGUGCCUAUUCCUGUAAUUUACCAGUGGAUCAAGUUUAGUGGAUUUGGAAGGUAUUUGAUUUUAUCUGUCAUUAAAAUCUAAGUAGCUUUCAUAGCUAAUGUUUCAAUUAAAAAUCAAAAUAUCUAAAGUCUACCUCUUGUAUGUGCUGUAUGCCAUUGUGUUCUCUAACGUAUGCCGUUUCUCAGUAGUCUUUGAGUCCAUUUAAUGAACUGUAUUGUCACCCGGUGUAACUGUUGGUCCUGUGAAGUCCCAAUCCAACAAACACAUUUAUGUUUAACUUCAUUGCUGUGCAGAAACUUGUGAAGGAAAGCGAGCCAUCUGUCUAAAAUCUUGUGUGAUAGGAGCUAAUUAUAUUUUUCUGAAAAUGCAAGAUCCAUCUUGGUAUUUUAUGUGACCAUACUGCACAUGCAAUACAAUGAGGUUACUAAUGUUUAAAAUAUUAAAAAAAGUAAAAAGUGAAAGAUGGCCAAUCUUUUUCCUCGUGAUGCCAUCUAAAUACAGGAAACAACCUAAGGUCAGCCAACAGGGUGAUGCUAUGUGGGUUCCUGUUCAAAAGAAGUGUGGCUGACCUGCUUUGGAGGGAUGUUGAUAUUAAGAAAGAGCAACCAUAUAAAAAUAAAUAUAAAAAUAUAUCAAUAAAUCAAAAAGUAUCCAAUUUGCACAAACAUAUACCCUGGCUUGGACUUUCAGUAUACAGUAAAAGGAUGUAACCUGGAUGCAGGCAGAACUGCUGUUGCUCUCCUGCACCUUCAGCUUUUCCAGAAGUUUAGUCUCGACUUAAAAAUGUGUUUAUAAAGUUCUGUUGGGAUGCUUGGAUUAAUGAUUCUGCUGGUUUACAUGUUGUAAAAUUAAUCACAUUGAGUUUACAGUGCACUUAACUCAUUUGGCAUUAUUUGAAUUACAUUUCACACUACUGAGCUGAUGGUCUUGUGACACAACAGAGCACUCAUCAUUUCCUUGUGGGUGUUGUGUACACACUGGAGGGUAGCUCAGUCUUGAUGUACUGUGAAAAGAAAGAGUUUACUUGGUGGGAAAUGGAGACCUGGUAUUUUUAAUCCAACGCCCUCCAGCUAUCUUGAAAAAUG